UACAGAGGGUGCGAGCGUUGUCCGGAAUCACUGGGCGUAAAGGGCGCGUAGGUGGCUGGGUAAGCGUGCGGUGAAAGCUCGGGGCUCAACCCCGGAACUGCCUCCGAAACUGCCGGUCUGGAGGUCGAGAGAGGCGAGUGGAAUUCCGAGUGUAGAGGUGAAAUUCGUAGAUAUUCGGAGGAACACCAGUGGCGAAGGCGGCGCGCUGGCUCGAACCUGACGCUGAGGUGCGAAAGCGUGGGGAGCAAACAGG
rnacentral:rRNA from 1 species